GCGUAUAUUUGAUAUCAAAUAAGCUGAAAAUGUUUCGUAACAUCGAUCGCGUAACCUGUUACGCAAUACACUUUUCAUUUGAUAUUUAAUAUCACACAUUCAUAAAAAUAAUUACAUUUUUUAUCGAGAUAAAACCUUUAUCCAUUUUCGUCUUUGUUGCUGCCUUUCCAGGAACAGAGAUGUCCAUGAUGGUAGGCAUAAACUUCCGGCAUAAAGUUUUCAUAAAGAAACGUCUACUUUAUAGAAGUUUUUAUUCGAUGCUCUUGAUCGAGUCGACUCGAACGUGUGUUGCAAUUUUAGCUCGCACAAGUCGAGAAUGGGAGAAAGAAGGUAGGGUGGAAGAAGAAUGCUCGAAGAAACGCAUUGACGGAUGUAAAUAAAAGAGGCGCAGUAAGAAAGCGAAUAGUUUAUUACGACCUAGUUGGGAAGAGUAAGAAUUUGAGGAAAAUUUGAGAAUAGGAAACACAAGGUGAUCCAAUUGCAACAUAUGAUUUCUUUGACAAAUAGUCCUCUUGAUUAGUAGAAUGCAAUGCAAACAAGAAAAUUUACUUUGAAUGUCUGGGUCGAGAUUAAUUUUUCUUCGUAUAACCUAAUCAUUAAACAUCUGCGAUACAGAUAACAUGUUGCACGUUGUACAAUAGGACAUAAAAAGGAUAACUCAGAGCUACGUAAUUUCUACUUAAAUUCGGCAACAUUAUAGAGAUUUAAUUCAAAAAGAAAUUAAUCAGAAAAAGAAACCCCGAUCGAAGCCCCUGUGGCAACUUGAAAAGAUGGAUAAGGGGCGAUACAGGGCAAAGGCUAGAGAAGCAAGAAGCAUUGGGACAGGAAAGAGCGGUAGCUGGUCUGAUAAAGCGAGGAACGGCGUGGAGAUAAAGGGAGGACAGUGUAGGAGGGCAAGAAAAUAUAGAUUGCUCGAGAACGACGAAGUUAGUGUCCAUUGGAGGGAAAGAGACACAUAUACAUCGGAUCGAUGCAGAGCACUAUUCCGUGGGUGUCGAGUUUCGUCUCCCUCCAACCGAUAGGAUUUGGCCUAGUAGGAGAAAGAGGGGCAUUGGCUUACACCAUCGUUCAUAACUUUUGAUCGUAUCUCAGACAACCAAAUUAUACAGUUGUUUAAUGUUAGUAAAAAUAAUUUUAACAUUAAUCGGAAUAAAGAAAAAAAAAAGAUAUGAUUGAUGGAUAAAAACUGGUCCUGCAAAGACAAGUGAGUUAAGUAACUUUAACUUUAAUUAACUGCUUGAUCAACGUUUGUCCCUUGAAAUGAUUUAAAUAUAUACGUGUUUUUAAUCAAAUUCUAAAAGUUUAUAUAGAUUUUAUCAAGAGUCGACUAUCUAUUACGGAUAAACAAGGAACUUGAAUGAUGCAGGUAUAUUCCAUGUUUCUGUCUAGAAGCAUUUGGUCCUAGUUUUAUGGUAAGAUUAAGUAACGUAAAAACUUAUCGAUAGAGAAUCGUUCUAUCGUUGUAACGUUGAAAAUAUAAUAAAAAUAUCAAACAAGGUUGAAUCGCGCUAGCUGUCGGAAUACUUAUACACGAUAGUGUGGUAGUGUACGUAACACGAUUUCGGUGGGAAAUUGCGAUCUACAUAUGAAUUAGAAUACUAUGGCGGAUGGACUGAAAAGGAUGACCUCGCGAGUCUACCAAUAGAUGACGGAGAUCACCGAUUAGGAACGCCAUUUAUCCCGUCAUUUCCUUUAGAAAGUGGCGUCAAUUUCGUGAACAAUCGGCCGUGAUCAUGCCACCGGAUAGUGAAUGUCAGAGUUCGCGCUGUGAAUUUACCGAUCAACUAAACACCGAACGACCUAAAUGAGCAAGAGCACUCUCGCGCUCGAUUCGGCAACGAGCGUUUCCGGUUGACGAGCGGCGCGCUGGAUAACUGGUCGAAAUAACGAGGUCUUCUUCUUACUUACGCCGUGCUCGGAAAAGGGAUAAAGGUUAAUAAAGGGAGAAGAUUGUCAUGUGGGAUUAAAAAUAUUGGUGAUAAUAUUAUGGACUUGUUUUGUGAAUAUGGCCACAGAUUUGUGAUUUAUUGAGAUUUUCGCCAAAUGAAAGUGUAUUGUUAUAUUCCGAGAUUAAUGCAUAUGAAAUGCUUUUUUCAAAUGAAACUUUACCUGCAUGUAGUUUAUUUAAAAUUUUGUAUUUUCAAUCCAAGUAACUUCUAUAUUAUUCAAUACAGUCUUUCAAUAACUAUUUAAUCUCAUUAUCCCAGUUUUGUAAGAAAUACCAGUUUUAAGUUCUAAAGAUUCUUAGGAUGGACUUAUUAUAUUUUACAUUUUUUAUAGUUUACAUUAUGGACUUAUUGUAGUUCAUUUAUUUACAGGUUCUUUUAAUUGAUAAUUGAUGGUAAGUAAGAUAUAAUGAUUUGUAUGUAUAUUGUAGAUUUUAAGAAAUUAUAUGUACUGUUUGAUAAGAAAAUAAGGUU